rnacentral:rRNA from 1 species
UACGUAGGGGGCAAGCGUUGUCCGGAUUUAUUGGGCGUAAAGAGCGUGUAGGCGGUUAGGUAGGUCCGUUGUGAAAACUCGAGGCUCAACCUCGAGACGCCGAUGGAAACCAUCUAACUAGAGUCCGGAAGAGGAGAAUGGAAUUCCUGGUGUAGCGGUGAAAUGCGCAGAUAUCAGGAAGAACACCCGUGGCGAAGGCGGCUCUCUGGGACGGUACUGACGCUGAGACGCGAAAGCGUGGGGAGCAAACAGG